GAUCCUGGCUCAGGAUGAACGCUAGCGGCAGGCUUAAUACAUGCAAGUCGUGGGGCAGCAUGAGUAGCAAUACUUGAUGGCGACCGGCAAACGGGUGAGGAACACGUACACAACCUUCCUUCAAGCGGGGAAUAGCCCAGAGAAAUUUGGAUUAAUACCCCAUAAUAUAUUUGAUAAGGCAUCUUAUUAAUAUUAAAGCUUCGGCACUUGAUGAUGGGUGUGCGGCUGAUUAGAUAGUUGGCGGGGUAACGGCCCACCAAGUCUACGAUCAGUAGCUGAUGUGAGAGCAUGAUCAGCCACACGGGCACUGAGACACGGGCCCGACUCCUACGGGAGGCAGCAGUAAGGAAUAUUGGUCAAUGGGCGAAAGCCUGAACCAGCCAUGCCGCGUGGAGGAUGAAGGUCCUCUGGAUUGUAAACUUCUUUUAUAUGGGACGAAAAAAGGGUUUUCUAACUCGUCUGACGGUACCAUAUGAAUAAGCACCGGCUAACUCCGUGCCAGCAGCCGCGGUAAUACGGAGGGUGCAAGCGUUAUCCGGAUUCACUGGGUUUAAAGGGUGCGUAGGUGGGUUGGUAAGUCAGUGGUGAAAUCUCCGAGCUUAACUUGGAAACUGCCAUUGAUACUAUCAGUCUUGAAUAUUGUGGAGGUCAGCGGAAUAUGUCAUGUAGCGGUGAAAUGCUUAGAUAUGACAUAGAACACCAAUUGCGAAGGCAGCUUACUACGGAUAUAUUGACACUGAGGCACGAAAGCGUGGGGAUCAAACAGGAUUAGAUACCCUGGUAGUCCACGC
rnacentral:rRNA from 1 species